rnacentral:misc_RNA from 1 species
GUGAAUCAUCGAAUUUUUGAACGCAAAUUGCGCUUCCUGGUAUCCCGGGAAGUAUGCCUGUUUGAGAGUCAGUAUUAACAAAAAAUCGGUUGUGUUGCAAAUUAUUACGUUUCCGUAGUUUGGGCUUAUCUGAACUUUUUUGGUUAAGGAGCUUAAAAUUGACCUUUUUUACGCAUUUUUAGACUGACAUAAAUUUUUUUUAUUCAUCUAUUCUUAAUGCCAAAAUCGUAUUAGAUGCGAUCACAUCGUUGAGCUUCGUGUCCAUAAA